rnacentral:rRNA from 1 species
GGCUUAGGAUGAACGCUAGCGACAGGCUUAACACAUGCAAGUCGAGGGGUAACAGGGUAGCAAUACCGCUGACGACCGGCGCACGGGUGAGUAACGCGUAUGCAACCUGCCUAUAACUGGGGAAUAGCUCCCUGAAAGGGGAAUUAACACCGCAUAACACUAUUGAUUCGCAUGGAUUUUGUAGUUAAAUGUAGCGAUACAGGUUAUAGAUGGGCAUGCGUGACAUUAGCUAGUUGGUGAGGUAACGGCUCACCAAGGCUACGAUGUCUAGGGGUUCUGAGAGGAAGGUCCCCCCACACUGGUACUGAGACACGGACCAGACUCCUACGGGAGGCAGCAGUGAGGAAUAUUGGUCAAUGGGCGCAAGCCUGAACCAGCCAUGUCGCGUGCAGGAAGACUGCCCUAUGGGUUGUAAACUGCUUUUAUAGUAGAAGAAACACAUCUACGUGUAGAUGUCUGCCAGUAUACUAUGAAUAAGCAUCGGCUAACUCCGUGCCAGCAGCCGC